AGCUUUGCGCAGCGGCGAUAUCGUAACCAAUGAGGUUCUACCGAGGUACGAUUAUUGCUAAUUGAAAACUUUUACCAUAUAUCAAUCGAUUCAUCGAAAAAUAUUCCAUGCUAGCUUUGUCGGAACUACUUUACUACUUUAGUA